CGUAGGGUGCGAGCGUUAAUCGGAAUUACUGGGCGUAAAGCGUGCGCAGGCGGUUUUGUAAGACAGGCGUGAAAUCCCCGGGCUCAACCUGGGAACUGCGCUUGUGACUGCAAGGCUAGAGUACGGCAGAGGGGGGUGGAAUUCCACGUGUAGCAGUGAAAUGCGUAGAGAUGUGGAGGAACACCAAUGGCGAAGGCAGCCCCCCUGGGUCGAUACUGACGCUCAUGCACGAAAGCGUGGGUAGCAAACAGGAUUAGAUACCCUGGUAGUCCACGCCCUAAACGAUGUCAACUAGGUGUUGGGUGGGUAAAACCAUUUAGUACCGGAGCUAACGCGUGAAGUUGACCGCCUGGGGAGUACGGCCGCAAGGUUAA
rnacentral:rRNA from 1 species